rnacentral:rRNA from 1 species
CGAGCGAACGGACGAGAAGCUUGCUUCUCUGAUGUUAGCGGCGGACGGAUGAGUAACACGUGGAUAACCUACCUAUAAGACUGGGAUAACUUCGGGAAACCGGAGCUAAUACCGGAUAAUAUUUUGAACCGCAUGGUUCAAAAGUGAAAGACGGUCUUGCUGUCACUUAUAGAUGGAUCCGCGCUGCAUUAGCUAGUUGGUAAGGUAACGGCUUACCAAGGCAACGAUGCAUAGCCGACCUGAGAGGGCGAUCGGCCACACUGGAACUGAGACACGGUCCAGACUCCUACGGGAGGCAGCAGUAGGGAAUCUUCCGCAAUGGGCGAAAGCCUGACGGAGCAACGCCGCGUGCGUGAUGAAGGUCUUCGGAUCGUAAAACUCUGUUAUUAGGGAAGAACAUAUGUGUAAGUAACUGCGCACAUCUUGACGGUACCUAAUCAGAAAGCCACGGUUAACUACGUGCCAGCAGCCGCGGUAAUACGUAGGUGGCAAGCGUUAUCCGGAAUUAUUGGGCGUAAAGCGCGCGUAGGCGGUUUUUUAAGUCUGAUGUGAAAGCCCACGGCUCAACCGUGGGGGGUCAUUGGAAACUGGAAAACUUGAGUGCAGAAGAGGAAAGUGGAAUUCCAUGUGUAGCGGUGAAAUGCGCAGAGAUAUGGAGGAACACCAGUGGCGAAGGCGACUUUCUGGUCUGUAACUGACGCUGAUGUGCGAAAGCGUGGGGAUCAAACAGGAUUA